GCUGAAAUCUUAACACCGAAGAGUUGAAGGCUUUUUCUCUAAGAUCAGGAACAAGACAUGGAUGCCAUUUUUUCUCCUUCUGUUCAGUGUUGUACUGGAAGUCAUAGCAAGAGCAUUUAGGCAAGAGAAAUAAAAGACAUCUAAGUAGGAAAAGAAGAAAAAACUUGCCUCUCCUGAUUAUCUUAUCUUAUAGCUAGAAAACCUUAAAGACUCCAUUAAAAAAAAAAAAACUAUAGAACUAAUAAAAUGAAUUCCAUAAAAAGUGCUACGUACAAAAUUGACAAUUAAGUCUGUAGCAUUUCUAUACACUAACAAACAACAAUCUAUCCAAAAAAGUAAUCAGGAAACUAAUCACAUUUACACUAUUUACUAAGUAAACAAACUUAUGAAUGAAUUUAACCAAGUAGGUUAAAGAUCUGUAUAGUGAAAACAUUGAUGAAACGAAUUGAAGAUUACAAAAAUAGAAAUUUUUCUUUGUACAUGGAUUGGGAAAUUUAUAUUGUUAUAAUUUUCAUACUGCCAAAAGAAACAUACAGAUUCUGUGUAAUCAAUAUUUCAAUGUCCUUUUUAUUUUUAUUUUUUUUACAGAAAUACAAAAAAAAUUCUAAAACUUGUAUGGAACUACAAAAGACAUUAAAUAAUCAAAGUAAUCUUGAGCAACAAGGACACAGCUGGAGGCAUCACUCUACCUGAUUUUGUAAUCCAUUAUCAAAAAACUGUGGUACCAGCAUAAAAACAGAUUCACUGACCAGUGGAACAGGAAAGCCCAGACAUAACUCAUACAUUUCCAUCCAAUUGAUUUUUGACAAAAGUGGCACACAGAAUGGGGAGAGGACAAAUAAAUAAAUAAAUUGUUUUGAGAUAUCUGUAUAUCUAUAUGUGAAAUUGAACCAUUUUCUCAUAGCAUAUAGAAAAAUCAACUCAAAAUGGAUUAAAGCCUGAAAUGUUGCCUUUGAAACUGUAAAACUACUAGUAGAAAAUAUAGGGGAAAAGCUCUAUGAUGUUGUUCUGGGCAAUGAUUUCUUGGAUACAUCCUUAAAAGCAUGGGCAGCAAAAACAGCCAGACAACUAUCAGGGAACCUGCCCAGAUAGUCACAUAGGUUCUUUUCUAUUUUCCCUAAGCAUUGGCCGGGUUGAGAAAUAAAGGGACAGAGUACAAAAGAGAGAAAUUUUAAAGCUGGGCAUCCUGGGGAGACAUCACAUGUCGGUAGGUUCCGUGAUGCCCCCUGAGCCGUAAAACCAGUAAGUUUUUAUUAGGGAUUUUCAAAGGGGAGGGAGUAUACGAAUAGGAGGUGGGUCACAGAGAUCACGUGCUUCACAAGGUAAUAGAAUAUCACAAGGCAAAUGGAGGCAGGGCGAGAUCACAGGACCACAGGACUGGGUUGAAAUUAAAAUUGCUAAUGAAGUUUCGGGCACCAUCGUCAUUGAUAACAUCUUAUCAGGAGACAGGGUUUGAGAGCAACCUGUCUGACCAAAAUUUAUUAGGUGGGAAUUUCCUCGUCCUAAUAAGCCUGGGAGCGCUAUGGGAGACUGGGGCUUAUUUCAUCCCUACAGUCUCGACCAUAGAAGACAGCUACACCCAAGGGGGCCAUUUUAGAGGCCCACCCUCAGGGGCACAUUCUCUUUCUCAGGGAUGUUCCUUGCUGAGAAAAAGAAUUCGGCGAUAUUUCUCCCAUUUGCUUUUGAAAGAAGAGAAAUAUGGCUCUGUUCCGCCUGGCUCACCGGCGGUCAGAGUUUAAGGUUAUCUCUCUUAUUCCCUGAACAUUGCUGUUAUCCUGUUCUUUUUUCAAGGUGCCUAGAUUUCAUAUUGUUUAAACACACAUGCUCUACAAUUUCUGCACUUAACACAAUUAUCACAGGGUCCUGAGGCGACAUACGUCCUCCUCGGCUUACGAGAUGACAGGAUUAAGAGAUUAAAACAGGCAUAGGAAAUCACAAGGGUAUUGAUUGGGGAAGUGAUAAGUGUCCAUGAAAUCUUCACAAUUUAUGUUUAGAGAUUGCAGUAAAGACAGGCAUAAGAAAUUAUAAAAGUAUUAAUUUGGGGAACUAAUAAAUGUCCAUGAAAUCUUCACGAUCCACGUUCUUCCGCCAUGGCUUCAGCCAGUCCCUCCGUUUGGGGUCCCUGACUUCCCGCAACAGACAACUUGAGUUGCAUCAAACUAAAAAGCAUCUGCACUGCAAAGGGUACAGUUAACAGAAUGAAGACACGGGUUUUGAGAAACCAUUUUCAAAUCAUAUAUCUGAUAAGGGGCUAAUAUCCAAAAUGUAUUAAGAAACCCAAGCCCAAUAGCAAGAAAACAACUGUCUUUAAAAGGGGGAAAAGGACCUCAACUUAAAUUUUUCAGAGGAAGACAUGAGUGGCCAAUUGAUUGAUACAUGAAAAAAAUGCUCAACAUCUCUAAUCAUUAGUGAGUUGCAAAUCAAAACUGCAAGAUAUUACCUUACACCUUUUAGAAUGGCUAUUAUUAAAAGGAUGAAAGACAGGUGCUGGCAAGGAUGUGGAUAAAAGGAAGUCCCAACAUUCUGUUAGUGGGAAUAUAAAUUAGUAUAGCCAAUUUAGGAAACUAUAUGGUGGUUCCUUAAGAAACUAAAAGUACAAUUACUAUAUGAUCUAGCAAUCUCUACUUAGGUAUAUAUCCAAAGGAAUUGAAGCAGUAUGUUGAGAUCUUGCACUCCCUUAUUUUGAAAUUAUUUACAAAGCUAAUAAAUGGAAAAGACUUAAGUUUUCAUAACAGAUGAAUGGACAUAGAAGAUGUGUUGUAUAUACAUAUUGGAAUAUUUUUUAUCCUUGGAAAAGAAGGAAAAUUGUCAUUUGUGACAACAUGGAUGAAUCUGUAGUAUACUAUGCUAAGUGUUGUAAGACAGGCACAGAGAGGCAAAUACUACAUUAUAUUUGUAUGUGGAAUCUAAGAAAGGCUAACUCAUACAAGUAGAAAGUUGGAUGUUAUGGUUUCCAGGAUGUGGGUGUUGGAGAGAUGGGCAAAGGCAAGACGUUGGUCAAAGAGUACCAAUUUUCUGUUAGGAGGAAUAAGUUUUAGACAUAUUUCACAGCAUGGUGACCAUUGUCACUGACUGUAUAUUUUAAAAUUGUUAUAAGUAGAUAUUAAAGUUGUCACAACAAAAGUAGGUGAAGUUAUGGAUAUGUUAAUGUGCUUGAUUUAGUUAUUACACUAUGUAUACAUACAAAAACAUCAGAUAGUUCCCUGGAAUUAUAUACAAUUAUUACUUGUCAAUUAUAAAAAAAAGCCCUACUGCAACCACUAAAAAGGAUUUUCAUAUAAUAGAGGGAAAAAUCGUUAAAGAUAAUAAUACAUUAUUUUAGAAAAUAUUAACUUAUAAAAAGUAGUAUAGGAGGGAUUCUGUAAAAGAAGAUAGACAUAGAAUUUUAAAAUGUAUAAUGGAAAAUUUAAAUCCAGCUGUACUGAUGGAUCAAGCAAUCCAAACCAGUCUGAUUGACCAAGUGGAUAUUUAAAAAACAAUCAAACUAUAAGGUGUCUGUUGUAGGCAGUUUAUAAAAUACAAAAGUGUUGAAAGAAAUAGGAUGGAAAUAGAAAUAUCCAAGUAGCAACCACAAAAAAACUGGAAUGUCUGCACUAACAUCAUACAAAACAAACCAAAUGAAGGUUAAAAAUAUUGAAAUUAUACAAAAUAUGUUCUAUGACUAAAAUUUAAUGAAAUUAGAAAUAACACAGAGAUAGGAACUAUACAUAUUUGUGCAAAUUUAAAAAGUUAUGCUGAGUGUGGUGGCUCACACCUGUAAUCCCAGCACUUUGGGAGGCCGGGGAGGGUGGAUCACUUGAAGUCAGGAGUUGGAGACCAGCCUGGCCAACAUGGUGAAACCCUGUCUCUACUAAAAAUACAGAAAAUUAGCCAGAUGUGGUGGUGUGCGCCUGUAGUCCCAGCUACUCGGGUGGCUGAGGCACUAGAAUCACUUGAGCCUAGGAGGCAGAGGUGGCAGUGAGCCGAGAUCACACCACUGCACUGCAGCCUGGGCGACAAAGACUGUCAAAAAAAAAAAAAAAAAAAAAAAGUUACGUAACCAACAAGUCAAAGGAGAAUUUAUAAGGAAAUCAGAAAAUACUUUGAGGUGAAUGAAAAUACAGAAACAACAUAUCAAAUUCUGUGAGAUGUGUGAAAGCAACGCUUACAGUGAAAUUAAUAGCUAUGAACAUUGUAAUGAAAUGAGAAGUACUUCAAAUUACUAACCUAACUUUCCAACUUUAGAAAAUACAGUAAAAAAAGAACAAAUUAAAAUCAAAGCAGAAAGGAUAUAAAGUUUAGUGUGGAAAUAGAGAAUUAAAAAUAAUUGAGAAACACAGCACUUCGUUGACUUAUUCAUAAAAUAAAGCUUUAUUAAAAUGAGAAAUGUAAAACGUGAUGUUCCUAAUGACCUUAUUCCAUACAAGGGAUUAGUAUUUUGACAAAUAUCUUUGUGGAAGUAGACAAAUUCCUAGAAAGACACUGACUACCACAACUCAUUCAAGAACAAAGUGAAGACAAUAAAUUGGUAAUUUAAAAACUCUCACCCCUGCCCCUGACACACAUGUAAAUUCCCAGUUCAAAUGUAUUCUUUUGUAUAUUAUACCAAACACAUGAAAAUUACCAAUUCGAUAAAAAUGUCUUAAAAACUUGGAAGAGCAUGUAAUAUUUUUUACUGGUUCUAUGAUGCUAUUGUUAUCUAGAUACCAAAGUGAAACAUCAUACACAGGGAAAACUCUGAUAAUAUCGCUUAUGAGUGGAUCUGUGAAAUUUCCUAGUAAAUUUUGGCAAACCAAAUACAGUAACAUAUAAACAGGAAUGUACACCAGUACCCAGUACAGUGUAUCCCUGGAAUGCAACGUUAUUUCAUCAGCUGGAAAUGAUUAGUGCAACAGACUGAAGGAAGAAAACAACAUGGUCAUCUCAAUAGAUUGUGGACGGCUGGAAGUGGAGGCUCACGCCUGUAAUCCUAAUACUCCUACCAACAGUGUAUAAGCAUUCCUUUUUCUCUGUAACUUCACCAGAAUCUGUUUUUUUGUUUGUUUGUUUGUUUGUUUUUGACUUUGUAAUAGCCAUGGGCUGGGCUCAGUGACUCACGCCUGUAAUCCUAGCACUGGGGGAGGCUGAGGUGGGCGGAUCACUUGAGGUCAGGAGUUCGAGACCAGCCUGGCCAACAUGGUGAAACCCCAUCUCUACUAAAAAUACUAAAAUUACCUGUGCAUGGUGGCAAGUGCCUGUAAUCCCAGCUACUCGGGAGUCUGAGGCAGUAGAAUCACUUGAACCCAGGAGGUGGAGGUUGCAGUGAGCGGAGAUUGUGCCACUGCACUUGGACCUGGCUGACACAGCAAGACUAUGUUUAAAAAAAAAGAGAGAGAAAAAAAAAAUAGAAGGUGGAAAAAGUAUUUGGUAAACUAAGAAGUAAACCACAACCUAGUAAAGGGCAUAUUUUAAGAAUUCACAACUAGAACCUGGUGCCGUGGCUGUAAUCCCAGCACUUGGGGAAGCCAAAGCAGGAUUACUUGAGGCCAGAAGUCUGAGAUCAGCCUAGGCAAUAUAAGGAUACUCUGUAUCUUAAAAAAAAAAAAAAAAUCCAGAUGUGAUGACACAUGCCUGUACGCCUAGCUACUUGGGAAGCUGAGGUUCAUGUUUACAAUGAGCUAUGAUGAUGCCACUGUACUCCUGACUGAACAACAGAGUGAGACCCUGUCUCUAAAAAGCAAAACAAAACAGAAAACCCAAAACCCUCAAAACUAAUGUUACACUUAGUAUUUAAAGAAUGCUUUCUCUGUAAGAAGAGGAGCAAGGACAGGAUAAAACAUUCUUGCCAGUUCUGUUCAACAGUGUACUGGAAGUAUCUGUGACAUUAAUUGCAUUGCAUAUGGAAGGAAAUAAAAUUUUUUAAAUAGGAAGCAGCAAAACCUUUUGCAGAUGACAUGGUUUUGUACAUACACAACCCCAGUGGAUCCAAUAAAUUUGGAUUCCAAUAACAAGAUCAUCUCAGCAAGUUUUUGUGAUUUAAGAUUACAAUCCAAAAAUCAGUUGUAUUUCUAUAUAUUAUUAAAGAAGUCAAAAGUGACAUCAUUGAAACAUUUUUAUUUACAAUAUUAUUAAGGCAAAAUACUGUGGGAUAAAGUGAAAUUCAGCAUGAACUGUGAAUAACACAAAAUAUUUGUCAGAGGAGUUGAGGAAUAUCUACAUAUGUGGAAAGACAUCUCAUAUUUGUGGACUAGAAGAUUUAAGCAUCGCUAGGUGCGGUGGCUCACGCCUGUAAUCCCAGCACUUUGGUAGGCUGAGGUGGGCGGAUCACAAGGUCGGGAGUUCGA
rnacentral:lncRNA from 1 species